UCUCUUGAGUUUUUUCUGAUAGAUUAUCAAUUGAUAUUUACAGCGAGGAAGUGCGACAUGCUUGUUAUUCUUGCUAUUUCAGUCGAGAAGUUUCACAUUCUGUUCCCAAAAUUCAGAUCGGAUUGGACGCCUCCCGGGCUGCAUGCCCUGCCCUUCACCUGAAAACCUUUGAAUAUCCAGCCUCCUACAACCGCGACAUUUUUCCUAGCACGUGCAGUGCACGUGAUGGACACCGCCCCUCUCUUCCUGGCCUUCUCCAAAUCCCAAAGGCUGCUCCCCCCGGGAAACCCCUAUCUUGCAAAGCCCUAGCGUUCAAUCCAGACCGAGAUCAGUGGACCAUGUUUUCCUCUACGAGUUCUGACCCCUCUCCUGCUCCGGACUCGAGGAUUAGCGUCGAUUCCGGAGAUUAUGAAAGGCCGAGUGGGGUGCUGCAUUGGAUCAAUAGCUUGGAGGCCGGGAGGAGUUCUGGUGGGCGGUAUCACGCCUUUGUUUGGACCGAUUUGAUGCUAAAAGAUUUCUAAACAGGCUAAGGGGAAAAAGGUUGGUAUUUGUUGGUGACUCUCUCAACAGGAAUCAAUGGGUCUCUAUGGUGUGCAUGGUGGAAUCUCUAAUACCUACUCAUCAAAAAUCUUUGGAACGUAAUGGUUCACUUUUGUCCUUUAAAGCCAAGUAUCAAGGAGAAUCAUGCGGGCUUAUUCUAUUGGAAGGCAUGCCAGACACUGGAUGGAUGCUGAUAUACUGGUUUUCAACUCUUAUCAUUUGUGGAAAAAGCCCAGGAUGAAGAUGAAGGUCUUUAGGGAUGCCACUACUGGGGUUUGAACCAGUGAUCUCCUGCAUGUGGGGAGGGAUGCCAAGUGGCUGAACUGGGUCUGGUCGGCCAAUAUUUUAAAUCACGACGAUUCAUUUUAUUCAUGUUGUUUAGGAAUCACACGAUCCAAAAAUUCAGCAAUUCUAAUAUUCUUGCAAAAUUUGCAAAAUCAAUCAGCUGCAGAGUCACUGGCUGUUGGUUCAUACAACAUCUGAUUUUCUACAAAAUGGAGUAUGGCUCGUUUGAGGAUGAACCCAAAAAAAUUAAGUUGAGAUGGUUCAUGGCUUUGAACCAGCAUUGAAGACAUGGUCAAAUUGGCUUGAGUUGCACGUCAGCACUUCGAAGACCCAGCUGUUUUUUGGGAGCAUGUCACCAACUCAUGUCCGGGGUGAAGAUUGGCGUGUGGCAGGCAACAAGAACUGCUACAAUGAGACACAACUCAUCACUAAAGAAGGAUAUACAGGUUCAGGGUCAGAUUACACAAUGAUGCAGAUGGUAGAGGCUGCUGCAAUCAAAAGACUAAGAGAGAGCGGUGGAAUUGUGCAACUUCUUAAUGUUACUCAAGUUUCAGAGUACGGAAAAGAUGGACAUCCAUCUAUUUAUAGGAAGCAGUGGGAUCUUUUAAGUGAAGAUCAACUUGCGAAUCCCAGAAGCCAUGCAGACUGCACAUAUUGGUGCCUUCCUAGUGUUACUGAUGUGUGGAAUGAACUUUUAUAUGCCCAUAUUAUUUCUAAGCAACAAAUUUAACACUUUGUUAGUCGUGGAUGUUAUUGUUGAUGAUAAUCCCUAAUACUAGGAUGCAAAAUCAGAAAAGAAGGUUUAAUUUGGGCCACAAAAUUUUAGAUUUUCUCCAUCUUUACAUAUAUUUUGAUCUGCAUGGCCAGAGAAUAUUUCUUAUUCAUCAGUCAAUCUUUAUUCUUUUCCAUUUCUUCUUCUUAUUUUUGUGUAAAUAGCCAAUCAUAAGGUUAGAUGCAAGCACUUAGUUUUCCUUGAGGGAAAACCUCAUCAGAUUUGCAAAAAUAUUACUGAUGGGAUUUCCAUCACUCGCUUACGGGAAAACAUGUUAAGGUGAAAUUCUCCUUUCAGUUUAGUAAUUUAAUGAAAAUGAUGUUUGGAUUUUCA